UCAAAACCUAAUUCUCAGAAUUUGAAACGAGUAGCCAGUAGUUGCAAGUUUGAGCGGUGAAAUGGAAACCCAAACUCCAUAUAUCGUCCAGAAGAAUCUUCCCCAAAUUUUCAAAACCCUAAACCCUGAAUCAACCUCAAUUCCGCCCAAUUUCGCACCAAUUGAUUUAGAUAAUCCAUCGUUUCAUCCCUCUUCUUCACUCAACAACAGAAGGGCAAAUCAUCAUCAUCAAAAAUUUGUAAGUAAUGAUGUUUUAAUUUUUGAAAUUGAUGAUCGUAAGAAUGGUAAUUCUAAGGACAAAGCUAGUACCUCUGUUUCUGGGAAUAACGUAAUUGAGUUGAAUGAUGACGAUUAUGGCGAUAAUGGGGUUGUCGUUGAUGAUAAUGAUGAUGAUGAUUGUGUUGUUGUGAAAAGAGAGAGAAAUUUGACGCCUAAAGGUAAUCAUAAGAAAGACCCAAUUUGUCUUGAGGAAUUGAAGGAAAUUAAACCUAAAUUGGGUAAAAAAAAUUCGAUUAUUGUUGAUGAUUAUAAUUCAGUACAAUGUGUUGAUGAUUAUGAUGAUGAUAAUGAUGAAAUUAGGAUUAUCAAUGUGAGGCCUUAUAGUUGGCCGUUGGUGUCGUCGGCUUCCUUGAGGAAGAAGAGAAAACCGUUUUAGUGGUCCGUCGAUUACUGAAGUAGGUGAAUCGUCAGGGUCGAAAUUUGAGGUAGAUGAUGAAAUGGUGGCUGAAAUUGAACCCAUUGAAAUUAUGUUUCUUUGUGAAAUUUGUGCUGACUCUAAGCCCCAAAAGGAGGCUUUUAAGAUAAAGGGUUGCUCUCAUUCGUAUUGCUCUGAUUGUAUGAAAACUUAUGUUGCUUCGAAGCUUCAAGACGGUGUUUCUGUAAUUAAUUGCCGGUUCCUAGUUGUUCUGGAGUAUUAGAGCCAGAGUAUUGUAGGGAUAUACUCCCAUUUGAGGUUUUUGCUCGGUGGGGCAAUCUUCUGUGUGAGUCUGUGAUACUGGCCACGCAAAAGUUCUAUUGCCCGUUUAAGGAUUGCUCGGCUUUGUUGGUUGAUGACGGGUUUGAGAAGGUGACAAUGUCUGAGUGCCCAAGUUGCUUUAGAUUGUUUUGCGCGCAGUGUAAGGUUGGGUGGCAUGCAGACAUUGGGUGUGCUGAGUAUCAAUCUCUGAGUAAGGAUGAGAGGGAGAAAGAGGAUAUCAUGUUGAGGAAACUUGCUAAGACUAAGAACUGGCAAAGGUGUCCCAAGUGCAAGUACUAUGUGGAGAAGUCAGAGGGUUGCCUCUAUAUGAAAUGCAGGUGUGGAGUUGCCUUUUGUUACAGGUGUGGUAACAUUAACACAGACCAUAGAUACCAUAACUGUAAAAACUGUGGGCUGUAGUCUUCGGGAUUCAAUUUUGUUGAUUGUAGAGGAACAGAUGUGGACUUGCUACCAGUUCUUUCAAUGGAAUUUGGCUUCUCUCCAAAGGAAUUUGUAAAUUAAUUUUUUAGAUUUAGGGUAUUUAGAAACAUGAUGCGUAACGAUCCAAUGUUUCUUUGAUAGUUGAUUAUCUGUAACUACUAUUUCAGUGAGUUUCGACCAAAUGUUCCAUGAUCUCAGAUCUCCCCAUUCAGGACCAAAUUUACGAGUUGAUUCUGCAUAUUGCUACUUAGUCUGUCCUUUCACGGGCAUGUCUGACAAGUUUGAUUAUGCCAAUUAUUAUGAAACAGAGAGAGUAAUUGAAUA